rnacentral:rRNA from 1 species
GGAGUUAGCCGGUGCUUCUUCUGCGAGUAACGUCACAGAUGUAAGGUAUUAACUUACACCCUUUCCUCCUCGCUGAAAGUGCUUUACAACCCGAAGGCCUUCUUCACACACGCGACAUGGCUGCAUCAGGGUUUCCCCCAUUGUGCAAUAUUCCCCACUGCUGCCUCCCGUAGGAGUCUGGGCCGUGUCUCAGUCCCAGUGUGGCUGAUCAUCCUCUCAGACCAGCUAGGGAUCGUCGCCUAGGUGAGCCUUUACCUCACCUACUAGCUAAUCCCACCUGGGCUUAUCCAUCAGCGCAAGGCCCGAAGGUCCCCUGCUUUCCCCCGUAGGGCGUAUGCGGUAUUAGCAGUCGUUUCCAACUGUUAUCCCCCACAAAUGGGCAAAUUCCCAGGCAUUAACUCACCCGUCCGCCGCUCGUCAUCUUCAAAAGCAAGCUUUUGAAAUGUUACCGCUCGACUUGCAUGUGUUAGGCCUGCCGCCCACGCGUCUACUACUAGUAGACGACGACGUACGUAAACUAACUACGUACGUACGACGACGGCGGUCGGUCGACGGACGGACGACG